rnacentral:rRNA from 1 species
AUUGAACGCUGGCGGCAGGCCUAACACAUGCAAGUCGAGCGGAUGACGGGAGCUUGCUCCUUGAUUCAGCGGCGGACGGGUGAGUAAUGCCUAGGAAUCUGCCUGGUAGUGGGGGACAACGUUUCGAAAGGAACGCUAAUACCGCAUACGUCCUACGGGAGAAGGCAGGGGACCUUCGGGCCUUGCGCUAUCAGAUGAGCCUAGGUCGGAUUAGCUAGUUGGUGAGGUAAUGGCUCACCAAGGCGACGAUCCGUAACUGGUCUGAGAGGAUGAUCAGUCACACUGGAACUGAGACACGGUCCAGACUCCUACGGGAGGCAGCAGUGGGGAAUAUUGGACAAUGGGCGAAAGCCUGAUCCAGCCAUGCCGCGUGUGUGAAGAAGGUCUUCGGAUUGUAAAGCACUUUAAGUUGGGAGGAAGGGCAGUAAGUUAAUACCUUGCUGUUUUGACGUUACCGACAGAAUAAGCACCGGCUAACUCUGUGCCAGCAGCCGCCGUAACAC